GACGUAGGGUGCAAGCGUUGUCCGGAUUUACUGGGCGUAAAGAGCGCGUAGGCGGUCCGUUAAGUGUGAAGCUAAAUCUCUUGGCUCAACCAAGAACUAUUUCGCAUACUGACGGGCUGGAGUGAUGCAGAGGUGGAUAGAAUUCCCGGUGUAGCGGUGAAAUGCGUUGAUAUCGGGAGGAAUACCCGUGGCGAAGGCGGUCCACUGGGCAUCAACUGACGCUGAGGCGCGAAGGUCAGGGGAGCAAACGGG
rnacentral:rRNA from 1 species